AGGAGCUGUUUGCUGGCCUCUAGCGGGGCAUGUGCACGCUCCGUUCAAAUCCAACCUUCAUACCCCUGUGCACCUUUUGUAGGGUCGUGGCCGCGAGGCUGCGCUCUAUGUUCAUCAUAAACUCUUCAGUAUGUGUAGAAUGUUCAUUGCGUGUAACGCAUCUUUAUACAACUUUCAGCAACGGAUCUCUUGGCUCUCGCAUCGAUGAAGAACGCAGCGAAAUGCGAUAAGUAAUGUGAAUUGCAGAAUUCAGUGAAUCAUCGAAUCUUUGAACGCACCUUGCGCUCCUUGGUAUUCCGAGGAGCAUGCCUGUUUGAGUGUCAUGGAAUCAUCAACCGUUCAUCCUUUGUUGGAUGUGGCGGCUUGGACUUGGAGGCUUAUGCUGGUUUCUUAACGGGAUCGGCUCCUCUUGAAUGCAUUAGCUUGAACCUAUGCUGUAUCGGCUGUUCGGUGUGAUAAUUGUCUACGCCGUGGCUGUGAGGCCCGUUGAAAGACGGUGGUAGGAUCAGCUUCUAACCGUCCCUGCGAACGGGACAACAUCUUAAUUGACCUCUGACCUCAAAUCAGGUAGGAUUACCCGCUGAACUUAAGCAUAUCAAUAAGCGGAGGAAAAGAAACUAACAAGGAUUCCCCUAGUAACUGCGAGUGAAGCGGGAAAAGCUCAAAUUUAAAAUCUGGUGGUCCUUGCGGCCGUCCGAGUUGUAAUCUGGAGAAGUGCUUUCCGCGCUGGACCGUGUACAAGUCUCUUGGAACAGAGCGUCGUAGAGGGUGAGAAUCCCGUCUUUGACACGGACUACCAGUGCUUUGUGAUGCGCUCUCAAAGAGUCGAGUUGUUUGGGAAUGCAGCUCAAAAUGGGUGGUAAAUUCCAUCUAAAGCUAAAUAUUGGCGAGAGACCGAUAGCGAACAAGUACCGUGAGGGAAAGAUGAAAAGAACUUUGGAAAGAGAGUUAAACAGUACGUGAAAUUGCUGAAAGGGAAACGCUUGAAGUCAGUCGCGUCGGCCGGGACUCAGCCUUGCUUUCGCUUGGUUUAUUUUCUGGUCGACGGGUCAGCAUCAGUUUCGAUCGUCGGACAAUGGCCAGGGGAAUGUGGCAUCUUCGGAUGUGUUAUAGCCCUUGGUCGCAUACGAUGGUUGGGACUGAGGAUCUCAGCGCACCUUUAUGGUCGGGGUUCGCCCACGUUUGCGCUUAGGAUGCUGGCAUAAUGGCUUUAAACGACCCGUCUUGAAACACGGACCAAGGAGUCUAACAUGCAUGCGAGUGUUUGGGUGGAAAACCCGAGCGCGCAAUGAAAGUGAAAGUUGAGACCUCUGUCGUGGAGGGCAUCGACGCCCGGACCAGACCUUUUGUGACGGCCCUGCGGUAGAGCAUGUAUGUUGGGACCCGAAAGAUGGUGAACUAUGCCUGAAUAGGGUGAAGCCAGAGGAAACUCUGGUGGAGGCUCGUAGCGAUUCUGACGUGCAAAUCGAUCGUCAAAUUUGGGUAUAGGGGCGAAAGACUAAUCGAACCAUCUAGUAGCUGGUUCCUGCCGAAGUUUCCCUCAGGAUAGCAGAAACUCAUGUCAGAUUUAUGUGGUAAAGCGAAUGAUUAGAGGCCUUGGGGUUGAAACAACCUUAACCUAUUCUCAAACUUUAAAUAUGUAAGAACGGGCUGUCUCUUGAUUGGACUGCCCGGCGAUUGAGAGUUUCUAGUGGGCCAUUUUUGGUAAGCAGAACUGGCGAUGCGGGAUGAACCGAACGUGAGGUUAAGGUGCCGGAAUACACGCUCAUCAGACACCACAAAAGGUGUUAGUUCAUCUAGACAGCAGGACGGUGGCCAUGGAAGUCGGAAUCCGCUAA
rnacentral:rRNA from 1 species